rnacentral:tRNA from 2 species
GUCCCGGUGGCACAGCUGGAUAGCGCAGCCCCCUCCUAAGGGGCAGGUCAGCGGUUCGAAUCCGCUCUGGGACGCCA